AAAAAAAGAAAAGGAGUUUCUGUUUUCAUUCCUGAUCAUAAAAUAAUUGGUGAGGAGUGAUCCACCAGCUCCAGCUGCUCUGUUCCAAAUUUGCAAAUCCAAUUCAAUUCCGGCUUCCCAAUUCCAACGACAGAAUCUCUCUUUCCUCCGCAGUAGAGCCCUAGUUCCCAUAAUCCUGUUUUUUCUGUACAUCUUUUUUAAGUAGUACUUAGCAAAUAGCACCUACUACCCAAUGACACUGAUAAUCAAGAAAGUCCUGUGAGGUUCUGCUGCGAAUCAUAUCCUCGUAAAGCUACCCUUUUCGGGUCCUCCUUUGAAUUCUGUGAAAAACCCACUUUUCUUUUCUUGUGCUUUCUCUUUUUGAAGUUAUAUCAGCUCUGUUUAUACGAGAUACGUGAGUUCUUGUUUUGUGGGCAUUGAGCAGAUGGAGCAAAAUAUAGAGCAUGGGCAUGUCAUUGAGGUCUGUGCUGAUGUACCAACUACAGAGACGGGCUCUAGUGGAAGCAAGGUAUGCGAGGGUGCAACAUGUGGAUUCUCUGAUGCAAAGACCACUUCUAAGGACGCAAAAGAACGUUCAGCUUCCAUGAAGAAACUUUUGAUUGCAGUUGUACUGUGCAUCAUUUUUAUGACUGUGGAAGUUGCUGGAGGAAUCAAAGCCAAUAGUCUCGCAAUAUUGACUGAUGCAGCUCAUUUGCUAUCAGAUGUUGCCGCCUUUGCUAUUUCUUUGUUUUCAUUGUGGGCUGCAGGGUGGGAAGCUAACCCACGUCAGUCUUAUGGAUUUUUUAGGAUAGAGAUACUGGGGGCGCUGGUCUCAAUUCAAUUAAUAUGGCUUCUUGCUGGAAUCCUUGUCUAUGAAGCCAUUCUUCGACUUAUAAAUGAUGCAGGAGAAGUUAAAGGCUUUUUGAUGUUUUUGGUUUCUGCUUUUGGGUUGUUGGUGAAUAUUAUCAUGGCUCUCUUGCUCGGUCAUGAUCACGGGCAUGGCCACUCCCAUAAUCAUGGACAUCGCCACGCUCAUGAUCAUGGGCACAACCAUGGGCAUCAUGGACAUGAGGAUCAUGAUCAUGGUUCUGAGGACGAACACAUGCACUGCCAUGGAGUGACAGUCACUAGGCAUCAUCAUGUUGAACAAGGACACGACGAGUAUCAUCAUAUCCAUGAUGAAGACCCUAGUCAGCCUUUGCUUAGCAGAUCUAGUGAGGGUGAGAAUAAGUCGAAAGGUGGACAGAAAAAGAAGAAGCUACGAAAUAUAAAUGUUCAGGGGGCUUACCUUCAUGUCCUUGGAGAUUCCAUACAGAGUAUUGGGGUUAUGAUUGGUGGAGCUAUUAUCUGGUAUAAACCAGAGUGGAAAAUCAUUGAUCUUAUUUGCACCCUCAUUUUCUCCGCAAUUGUCUUGGGUACCACAAUUAGGAUGCUGCGGAACAUUCUUGAGGUUCUUAUGGAGAGCACUCCCAGAGAGAUUGAUGCAACAAUGCUUGAAAAGGGUCUUUGUGAGAUGGAGGAGGUUGUUGCAGUUCAUGAAUUGCAUAUAUGGGCAAUUACAGUUGGGAAAGUCUUAUUAGCUUGCCACGUUAAAGUCAAGCCUGAAGCUGAUACUGACAUGGUGCUGGAUAAGGUCAUCGACUACAUCAAGAGGGAAUACAACAUCAGUCACGUCACAAUCCAGAUAGAAAGAGAACAGAUGCCAUGAUUUAGGGGAUUCCGGAACAACCAGCUCUACUACCAUUACUUUCCCAUGGUCCGGUAAUGCUGCAUAGCAAUUUUUCAGUAUCCUCACGCAAUGCUCGUCGUCCCAAGAAUGAAGCAUCCACUGUUUCACAAGAUUUCUCAGGUAUGUCAAAGUUAAUGCCUUUGAUGGUUGGAUACUUGCUGAGUAUUGCGUUCAGAAUGCUAGCAUCACCACCGCCCACAUCCACGAUGGAUUUCAGGCCUUCAAACCCUUUGCCAACGAGACUCCAUUAGCGUUGCGGAUGAAAUAUUUUGAGACGGGAGCCAAAGAGUAGAGCCUUUCGACCUGAUUGACCUUAUGGCUAUGAUUUCCAGCGUCCACAACUGAGCACAUGAGAAUGGAAUAGCUAGCUAGAAGGCCAAGCA